rnacentral:sRNA from 1 species
GUUGUCAUCCCGUCGCAGUUCAUUACCAUAGCCUUUCUCCAUUAGCUCCUUUGAAGAGUAGAGACUCUUCCAUUAAGGUUAAGAA